rnacentral:rRNA from 1 species
UACGUAGGGUGCGAGCGUUGUCCGGAUUUAUUGGGCGUAAAGAGCGUGUAGGCGGCCAUACAGGUCAGCUGUGAAAACUCGAGGCUCAACCUCGAGACGUCGGUUGAAACCGUAUGGCUAGAGUCCGGAAGAGGAGAGUGGAAUUCCCGGUGUAGCGGUGAAAUGCGCAGAUAUCGGGAAGAACGCCCGUGGCGAAGGCGGCUCUCUGGGACGGUACUGACGCUGAGACGCGAAAGCGUGGGGAGCGAACAGG